CUUGUGCAUAAUUUGUAGCUGGUCUGAUCUGAACCAGUAUCAAUUAAUGGAUGCCAGGAAAGCCCAUAAAGCCUCAUCUUCAUCCUCACCAUCAUCCUCAUCAAAACGUUGGAAGUACGACGUGUUCUUGAGCUUCAGAGGUGAAGACACACGCAAGGGCUUCACAGGCCACCUCCAUGCCGCACUAUCUGAUGCCGGAAUCAGCGCCUUUCUUGACGACAACGAGCUAGAAAGAACGGAAUUUAUAAAAACCCAACUGGAGCAGGCAAUCCACGGGUCCAUGAUCUCCAUAAUUGUCUUCUCCAAGAGGUAUGCCGAUUCCAGUUGGUGUCUUGACGAGCUGGUGAAGAUCAUGGAGUGUAGAAAAAGAUUGGGGCAACAGGUUAUUCCAUUGUUCUAUAACGUUGAGGCUUCAGAUGUCCGGAAACAAACUGGUAGUUUUGCACAAGCAUUUGAGAAACAUGAAGCGGGCAUCUGUGAAGGUAAACAUGAGAAAGAAAAGGUACAGCGGUGGAGAAAUGCUCUCACUCAAGCUGCAGAUUUGUGUGGGGAAGAUCUUAAAAAUGCUGACAAUGGGCAUGAAGCAAAGUUUAUCAAGAAAAUUCUUGGGGAGGUUAAUAAGCAGUUGUACAGCAAAUGCCAAUUAGACAUCGAACGCCUUGUUGGAAUUACCUCUCGGGUGAACGAUGUUGUUCGCAUGAUUGAUAUUGAAAAUUCAGGUUCUAAGGAUGUUGUUCGCAUGAUUGGUAUUUUGGGGAUGGGCGGCAUUGGGAAAACAACGCUUGCCAAAGCCAUUUAUAACAAAUUUGAAGGUAGCUUUGAAGGUAGGAGUUUCCUUGCAAACGUGAGGGAAGUAAUUGCAAACCAACCCAUUACUGGUCUGGUUGGUUUGCAAGAAAAACUUCUAAAUGAUAUCUUGAAAAGCAAGGAUCCCAUAAAGGUUGAUUCUGUUGAUGUAGGGAUCACUGUGAUGCAAGAAAGACUUCACUGUAAAAGAGCACUUGUCAUAAUUGACGAUGUAGAUGAAGUACAAAAGCUAAAAGCAAUAGCUAGAAAACGUGAUUGGUUUGGUCCUGGAAGUAGAAUUAUUAUAACAACAAGAGAUAAACAUUUGCUAGAGCAAAUUGGAGUGGAUGGCACAUAUAUGGCUGAAGAAAUGGAUGAAAAAGAAGCUCUAGAGCUCUUUGGUUGGCAUGCCUUUAAAAGUGGUUGUGCUAAUCAAGAAUAUCUUGACCUCUCAAAACGUGUACUUCGUUACUGUCAAGGCUUGCCUCUAGAGCUUCAAAUUGUAGGGUCUUUUCUGAUUAAAAGAUCCAUAGCGGAGUGGGAAAGCCAUUUGGAGAAAUUGGAAAGAAGUCCUGAUGGAGAUAUUCAAAAAAUGCUCAGAAUAAGCUUUGACGGGCUACCUGAUGAUACAAAGAGAGAGAUAUUCCUUGAUAUAUCUUGUUUCCUUAUAGGAAUGGACAAGGACUAUGUAACACAAAUAUUAGAUGGAUGUGGCUUUUUUGCAACGAUAGGAAUUAGUGUCCUCAUUGAACGGUGCUUUGUAACUGUUAGUGAGGAAAACAAGCUGAUGAUGCAUGAUUUGCUUCAAGACAUGGGAAGAGAGAUCGUUCGUGAAAAUGCCUGCGGUCACCCUGAAAACUGUAGUAGAUUGUGGAAACGUGAAGACGCAACAAAUGUAUUGAGCCAUGAAUCUGGAAGUGAAGAAAUUGAAGGAGUUGCUCUAGAUUUGACUAGAUUUAGUACACAAGCAUUUACCAAGAUGAAAAAACUGAGGUUACUCCACCUCAGCAACGUAGAGCUCACUGGAGAGUACACAGAUUUUCCCAAAAAGUUAAUAUGGUUGUGCUGGCAUCGAUUCCCUUUAGAGUCCAUACCAGAUGACUUUCCUAUGCAACCAAAACUAGUUGCUUUAGACCUGCAGUAUAGCAAACUCAAAAUAGUUUGGAAGGAUUGCAAGUUGCAUCAGAAUUUGAAAAUCCUUAAUCUCAGUUAUUCCUCUUGGCUAACAAAAUCACCAGACAUUUCAAAACUCCCAAAUCUCGAGGAAUUGAUAUUGCAAUAUUGUGCAAGUUUGUCUGAGGUUCACUCAUCCAUCGGGGAUCUUGGAAGACUUUCUUUGGUAAAUCUUGAAGGCUGCAGAAUGCUAGAGGAUCUCCCACUGAAUUUCUAUAAAUCCAAGUCUAUUGAAACCCUUAUACUGAAUGGUUGUUGGAGAUUUGAAAAGUUGGCUGAGGGCUUAGGGGACAUGGUAUCAUUGACAACUCUGAAAGCAAGUGACACAGGCAUAAGACAACUACCAUCUUCCAUGUUAAAAUUGAAGAAACUGAAAGCUUUAUCUUUAAGUUAUGUGAGAAGGAAAAGGUGGCCAUCAACAAAUCUUUUGCCCCCUUCGUUGCCAAGUUUAAGCUCUUUAAGAGAAUUAGCUCUUGCGUACUGCAGUUUAACUGAUGAUGCAUUCCCCAAGGAUCUCUGUAGCCUAAUUUCCUUAGAAAGAUUAGAUCUUGCAGGCAAUGAAUUUUGCAGCCUACCAAGCCUCAGACGUCUUUCACAGCUUCAAGAUUUGUCUCUAGAUUUCUGCACGCAUCUUCGUGCAAUGCCAGAUUUACCAACAAAUUUGAAAGUCUUAAAAGCAGAUGGCUGCUUUGCAUUGGAAAAAAUGCCAGAUUUUUCAGAAAUGUCAAAUAUAAGAUAAUUGUAUCUAAGAGAUUCGGACAAACUCACUGAGAUUCCAUGCCUGGAUAAGUCAUUAAACUCCACGACAAUGAUUCAAAUGGGAAAUUGCACUAAUCUCACUGCCGAUUUUAGGAAGAACAUCCUACAGGGAUGGACUUCUUGCGGAUAUGGUGGCAUUUCUCUCAGUGGAAAUGAUUUUCCUGAUUGGUUCCAUUGUGUCCAUGACAAUGAUAUUGUGUAUUUCAUUGUGCCUCAAAGUGUUGGUCGUAUUUUGAAAGGGUUAACUUUGUUUUUCGUUUACUCUCCAGACUCAAUCCCCGAUUGUGACAUCAUCAUUAGCAUUAGCAUUAAAAACAUGACCAAGGGCACUGAGCUUGAUGCCAGGAUCAAACCCGUUUCCAAUUUUCCAAUUGAGGAUUAUAAUCUUUGGCAGGGACAGUUGUCAAAUGACGAGCUCAAAUUGCAAGACGGUGAUAAAGUCUUGAUUGAAAUAAUAUCUGAAUAUAGAGCGGUGAAGGUGAAGAAAACAGGUGUUAGUCUGGUAUGGGACAAAUUUAUGAACGAAAAUAUGAUUGAUUACCAUCUUUGUGCAUAUGAACGACGCCCAUAUCUGGUCAAUGAUGAUGACAUCAUUCAUGUCGAAAAUGAUAAUCACAUAACAAAAUCACCAGACUUUUCAAAAUUCCCAAAUCUCGAGAAGUUGAUAUUGACAUUUUGUAGGUGGUUGUGUAAGGUUCACUCAUGCAUCGGGGAUCUUGGAAGACUUUCUUUGGUAAAUCUUGAAUACUGCACAACGCUAAAGGAUCUCCCACUGAAUUUCUAUAAAUCCAAGUCUAUUGAAACUCUUAUACUUAAUGGUUGUUCAAGAUUUCAUAACUUGGCUGAUGGCAUAGGGGACAUGGUAUCAUUGACAACUCUGAAAGCGGAUCACACAGCCAUAAGACAAAUUCCAUCUUCCAUAGUAAAAUUGAAGAAGUUGAGAAUUUUAUCUCUAUAUGGCUGCAGUUUAAGUGUGGAUGCAAUCCCCAAGGACCUCGGUAGCCUAAUUUCCUUAGAAGAUCUGCUUCUUGGAGACAAUGACUUGUGUAGCCUACCAAGUCUCGCUGGUCUUUCAAAGCUCAAAGUCUUGUGUGUAAAUGCAUGCAAAAAACUUCAUGCAAUCCCAGAUUUACCAACCAAUUUGUAUGUUCUGAAAGCAAAUGGCUGCCCAAAAUUGGAAACAAUUCCAGAUUUUUCAAAAAUGUCCAAUAUGAGAGAAUUGCAUCUACGUGAUUCGGUCAAACUCACUGAGGUUCCAGGCUUGGAUAAGUCAUUAAACUCCAUGACAAGGAUUCAUAUGGAACGCUGCACUAAUAUGACUGCCAAUUUUAGGAACAACAUCCUACAGAGAUGGACUUCUUGCGGAAAUGGGGGAAUUUAUUUGAAUGGAAUUUAUGAUAUUCCUGAGUGGUUCAAAAUCGUCAAUGAUGUGGACAAUAUCGUCUUCUUUGAAGUUCCUCAAAGAAUCAUGGGUCGUGAUUUAGAAGGGUUGACUAUAUGCUUCAUUUACUCAAAAUCCUCAAUUCAUUUUUUUUAUCAAGGUCAUAUUGGCAUUAUCGUUAGAAAUCUUACCAAACAAACUGCUUUGCACAUCCGGAUGUCUUUGGCAGCAACUUGGAGUGAACCUGAAGAGGGUUGUCGUUGGCAGGGACAAUUGUCAAACGAUGUGCUAUGUUUGCAAGGUGGGGACCAAGUCUCCAUUCUUGUAAGGCCCGGUAAUGAUUUUGUGAGAGUGAAGAAGACAGGGGUUCAUCUAGAAUGGGACAAAGUCAUGAAGGAAAAUAUGGAUAAUCCGGAUCCUCAUUUGUAUGAUUGGGAAACAAAUCAGAUUUUCGAGGGGGAGUUGAUGACGCAUUUUCCAGGGGAGGGGCAGUGUUAUACAUGA